rnacentral:rRNA from 1 species
CAGUAGCCACGGUAAUACGAAGGGGGCUAGCGUUGCUCGGAAUUACUGGGCGUAAAGGGAGCGUAGGCGGACAUUUAAGUCAGGGGUGAAAUCCCAGAGCUCAACUCUGGAACUGCCUUUGAUACUGGGUGUCUUGAGUGUGAUAGAGGUAUGUGGAACUCCGAGUGUAGAGGUGAAAUUCGUAGAUAUUCGGAAGAACACCAGUGGCGAAGGCGACAUACUGGAUCAUUACUGACGCUGAGGCUCGAAAGCGUGGGGAGCAAACAGGAUUAGAUACCCCGGUAGUCCCUGUCUCUUAUAC